GGCUUGUAAUGGUGACGUGAGUGUCGACUGGGAGGGAGUUGGCCAGAUGGGGCCACUUCUGGAUUAUGCCCGACCUGUCGUGGCGGAGUCGCUGGAAGUUCUGAAGAGGUUGGGUGGGGAAGAUAUUGUUGAUGAUAGCGUAGCAUGGGACCCUCCCCAUGCAUGGAAGUGUGUGUUGUCGAACUAUGGACGGACCCGCAAUGUUGCUGCUGGUGGAGGAGCGGUGGAGGGUGGAAUGGGCGAGGGGAGUUCUUUGGCGUGGCCAGGGCCAGGUUUGCAAAUUUAUUUUGUUUUUGGGUUCUUGGGCUUUCUGGUUUGUAUAUAUUUUU
rnacentral:lncRNA from 1 species